UUGAGGUUUUGUUAUGUUUAACCUUGAUUUUUUUGUCUUGAGUUUAGCUUCUUUAUUGGACCUUGUUUAAGGGCACUGUAACAGUUAUUUGAAUUUUAUUAUUUUGGGGAAAUAAAACCCAUGUUCUUUGAAAAUUAUUACUGUGUCCUCAUGCUUGACCGGCGUGGUCCUUCACACAUGGUGUCAGGAGUGGGAUUUGCCAGUUGAGGACACAGUUUUUUUUUUGUUUUUGGCAGUUUUCUUAAGCCCAGUUUUUGUUUUUGUUUUGCUUUUUUGACUCUCCAUGUUUUUCCCUUUUUGACCAUGCACCGUGGAGCCAGGAAAAACAAACCAGAGACCCAACUAACAGAGGAGCCAUGUGCUGGAGAAGAGGAAAUGGAGGCUGGAGCUUCUACAAUGGCAGCACACACUGGGGGUGAAGAUGAUAAAGAACCAACACUGAGAGACCUGACUGGGAUUUUGCAAGCGUUCAUGGGCCAGCAGGAGGCACGGGAGGUAAAAUUAAACCAAGAAUGUGAGAUACAGGAACCGCGGUUUAAAGCCUUAAAACAUCAGUUUCAGCUACUACAAAUGGAAGUGCAGGCCCGCACAUCUCCACUCCCUGAACCCUCUUCAACUAAUCCAGAAACACAGGAGGAUGACUAUGAAGUUGUUCAGCGGGCCCAGGCUAUAUUUUCACCAGUCAAUAUAUCUUCAGGUCAGUCGCAAUUUUCUCUUGAGCCAAAGUUGCAGAAAUUGACAAGUGAAGAUGAUAUUGAACAUUUCCUUGUUACAUUUGAAAGAAUUGCAGCUGCCUGUAGAUGGCCAAAAGCAGACUGGGUUUUUCAACUUAUUCCUCUCCUUACGGGUAAGGCAAGAAGUGCCUAUGUUCAUAUGGAUGUUGAUGAGACGCUUAUGAUAAUGUGAAAACAGCAAUUUUGAAGAAGUAUGACAUUAAUCCAGAGACCUAUAGACAAAGGUUUCGUUCCCUGUAUGUUUACCCUGAUGAGAGCCCCAAAGAGCUGUAUGUGAGGCUAAAGGAGUUGUUUGGGAAAUGGAUUCUACCCAGAGGUGUGGAUAAAAGUGCAUGAUCCGAAAUCAGCUGCAGAAGCCUCCACCUUUGCUGAUGUGUUUGUGGCUGCUCAAAGGAAGGGCCAGCCAUGCAGUAACACUUCCUUUAAAGAUAAGGACACCUGCAGGCCAGCUCCAUCUCGGCAUCAACAGGGUUCAGCAACAGGUGUGAGUAAAAUCCCCGCCAGAAAUGAACUGCCUGCAAAUAUUCAUAAUAAAUUUAAUAAAAAAAUUCCAGCUUGUUACCUUUGUGGGCUGGAAGGGCACAUCAAACCUAUGUGUCCACAAAACCCUUUAAAA